CGAAAUAGUUUACUUUGGACGUAAAAACUAUAACGCUGCAUAAUUUUUCCAUGUUGUGAAGCACAACAGAAAGAAGGGUGGGGCGGCGCACACAUGGGUAAGUCAUGUCCGGAAGAUGCACACAGUUGCCCAGUUGCAGAGGAUGCGGCAAUCAACGCCUUUCGCACCGAGAUGGGCAAAAAAGGGGAGAGACAGCGAAGGAGAGCAACAAAUGCAUAGCCCAGUUUCUCUGUUGCAUUGCGUUGUUCAUUACUCCCUACUUAAGUGGUGUACUUCCGGUGUCGUUCGAGAGGCUCGGUGUACCAGAGCUGUACACUCACAACCAACAAAACAAGACAACAGCACUAGAGAGACUUAAGAAAGUAGAACGGGAGGAUUAGUAUUUUAUAGUUGAAGCAACUGGGGUAAAAUGUGGCUUAACUUUAAUAGAUAAAAAAAGAUUGCUUAAAUAAAGUAAACUUAAGUAGCUAAGAACCUAAGAAUUAGAAAUUGAUCAAAUAAACACAAAAAAGGAGAAUAAAAAAAUUAUCAUAAAAUUAAUUAAAAGUAAAACAAAAA